rnacentral:rRNA from 1 species
GACAGAGGUGCCGAGCGUUAGGCGGAAUCACUGGGCUUAAAGCGUGUGUAGGCGGGUCGUUAAGUACCUUGUGAAAUCCCUCGGCUUAACCGGGGAACUGCGUCUGAUACUGGAUGGCUUGAGUUCGGGAGAGGGAUGCGGAAUUCCAGGUGUAGCGGUGAAAUGCGUAGAUAUCUGGAGGAACACCGGUGGCGAAGGCGGCAUCCUGGACCGACACUGACACUGAGGAGCGAAAGCCAGGGGAGCAAACGGG